CUCAUGCCAUCAGAUGUGCCCAGAUGGGAUUAGCUAGUAGGUGGGGUAACGGCUCACCUAGGCGACGAUCCCUAGCUGGUCUGAGAGGAUGACCAGCCACACUGGAACUGAGACACGGUCCAGACUCCUACGGGAGGCAGCAGUGGGGAAUAUUGCACAAUGGGCGCAAGCCUGAUGCAGCCAUGCCGCGUGUGUGAAGAAGGCCUUCGGGUUGUAAAGCACUUUCAGCGGGGAGGAAGGCGUUAAGGUUAAUAACCUUGGCGAUUGACGUUACCCGCAGAAGAAGCACCGGCUAACUCCGUGCCAGCAGCCGCGGUAAUACGGAGGGUGCAAGCGUUAAUCGGAAUUACUGGGCGUAAAGCGCACGCAGGCGGUCUGUCAAGUCGGAUGUGAAAUCCCCGGGCUCAACCUGGGAACUGCAUUCGAAACUGGCAGGCUAGAGUCUUGUAGAGGGGGGUAGAAUUCCAGGUGUAGCGGUGAAAUGCGUAGAGAUCUGGAGGAAUACCGGUGGCGAAGGCGGCCCCCUGGACAAAGACUGACGCUCAGGUGCGAAAGCGUGGGGAGCAAACAGGAUUAGAUACCCUGGUAGUCCACGCCGUAAACGAUGUCGAUUUGGAGGUUGUGCCCUUGAGGCGUGGCUUCCGGAGCUAACGCGUUAAAUCGACCGCCUGGGGAGUACGGCCGCAAGGUUAAAACUCAAAUGAAUUGACGGGGGCCCGCACAAGCGGUGGAGCAUGUGGUUUAAUUCGAUGCAACGCGAAGAACCUUACCUGGUCUUGACAUCCACAGAACUUUCCAGAGAUGGAUUGGUGCCUUCGGGAACUGUGAGACAGGUGCUGCAUGGCUGUCGUCAGCUCGUGUUGUGAAAUGUUGGGUUAAGUCCCGCAACGAGCGCAACCCUUAUCCUUUGUUGCCAGCGGUCCGGCCGGGAACUCAAAGGAGACUGCCAGUGAUAAACUGGAGGAAGGUGGGGAUGACGUCAAGUCAUCAUGGCCCUUACGACCAGGGCUACACACGUGCUACAAUGGCAUAUACAAAGAGAAGCGACCUCGCGAGAGCAAGCGGACCUCAUAAAGUAUGUCGUAGUCCGGAUUGGAGUCUGCAACUCGACUCCAUGAAGUCGGAAUCGCUAGUAAUCGUAGAUCAGAAUGCUACGGUGAAUACGUUCCCGGGCCUUGUACACACCGCCCGUCACACCAUGGGAGUGGGUUGCAAAAGAAGUAGGUAGCUUAACCUUCGGGAGGGCGCUUACCACUUUGUGAUUCAUGACUGGGGUGAAGUCGUAACAAGGUAACCGUAGGGGAACCUGCGGUUGGAUCACCUCCUUACCUUAAAGAA
rnacentral:rRNA from 1 species